rnacentral:sRNA from 1 species
UGGCGACGCCUUUCAGGCAUCCUCUCCUAAGACUUUCCGGGUCGGCUCAUGCCGACCCUUUUUUUGUCUGCU